CCCCUAGAUGUUCUGGGCCGCACGCGCGCUACACUGAACAGUUCAACAAGUCUUAACCUUGGCCGAUAGGUCUGGGUAAUCUUUGAACGCCGUUCGUGAUUGGGAUAGACCUUUGCAAUUAUGGGUCUUCAACGAGGAAUUCCUAGUAAACGCAAGUCAUCAGCUUGCAUUGAUUACGUCCCUGCCCUUUGUACACACCGCCCGUCGCACCUACCGAUUGAAUGGUCCGGUGAAAUCUCGGGACGGCGGCUUGGUCGCUUGCGUCCGACUGCUGAAACUUGAUUAAACCAUNUNAUUUAUNGGAAGGUGAANUCGUANCA
rnacentral:rRNA from 1 species